rnacentral:rRNA from 1 species
UACAGAGGGUGCAAGCGUUAAUCGGAAUUACUGGGCGUAAAGCGUGCGUAGGCGGUGUGUCGCGUCGGCCGUGAAAACCUGCAGCUUAACUGUGGGCUUGCGGUCGAUACGGGCAUCACUGGAGUUCGGCAGGGGAGACUGGAAUUCCUGGUGUAGCGGUGAAAUGCGCAGAUAUCAGGAGGAACACCGGUGGCGAAGGCGGGUCUCUGGGCCGAUACUGACGCUGAGGAGCGAAAGCGUGGGGAGCGAACAGG